AGCGAACGCUGGCGGCGUACCUAACACAUGCAAGUCGAACGGGGAUCACAGGGUUAGCAAUAACUCUGUGGUUCUAGUGGCGCACGGGUGAGUAACACGUGGGUAACCUGCCCUCGAGACUGGGAUACCCCCUCGAAAGGGGGGCUAAUACCGGAUACGUUCCUUGAAUCGAAAGGUUUGAGGAGGAAAGGUGGCGAAAGCUGCCGCUCUUGGAGGGGCUCGCGGCCUAUCAGCUAGUUGGCGGGGUAACGGCCCACCAAGGCUAUGACGGGUAGCUGGUCUGAGAGGACGACCAGCCACACGGGGACUGAGACACGGCCCCGACUCCUACGGGUGGCAG
rnacentral:rRNA from 1 species